UUACAUUUUCUAAUACGUUGUUAAUAUUUUAUAAAUUAUAUAAAUUAUUCUUAUUAAACUUUAUGAAGUACUUUAAAUUGAAUUUAAUUUAAUAUUAUUAUCUUAUUCUCAGUUAAAUAUUUAUUUUAAACUUAUUUUUUUUUCGAAACAUCUUAAAUGGACAGAUGGCGUUAGUUGUUAUGGUUAGAAACUAUAGAGUAUACGCAUCUUUUGAAGUAAUAAAGAAAGAAGAAAAGAGGAAAUGAAUAUCUCUUUAUAGUUUUUAAAUUACAUUGCCUCAGAUUUCUAAAGUAUCAUGAUUAAUUAAUAUUAUAUUUUUGCUCAGAAACAUAUUUUAUAAUACAAUUUUAAAUCAAAGAAAAAUAUCCGAAGAAUUUGUACUUUUGUUCAUUUUAUUCCAAAUGAAAAUUAUUUGCAGUAAUUUAUACCUUGCAUAUUUAUGUUGGCUGAUUGAUAAGUAAAGUCUCCUACAAUAGCAUUCCAUGAAGUUUCAGGAUGGAAACAUAUGCCCACAAUCAUUUAGUAACUAUGUGUGUCUAAUCUGUAUGUUUGCAGUUUAAGUUCAUUAUGUUGAAUCAUUUUAUAAUAGUCAAGUUUAAACAUAAAUAAAUAGUGGUCUUCUUCAUUCUUUACAAAAAUAUCAAUUAUUAAUUGAAUUUUUUAGCAAUGAAAGAUUAUACACUGAUUGAAAUUCACAGACAUUUGUGAGUUGUAUACAUACGGCAAUGUUUAUAUGGAUAAGAUGUAGUUCUACAACCAAGAAUAAAUCAUUGAUGAGGGGAUUUAGAUGAUUUAUUCUUCAGCUUGUCCCCUCAAUGAUUUAGAUGAGGAGACAAGCUGAAAAAAUUGUGUAGGCCUAUAAAUAGACAUGGUAUUAGUAGGACUGCCUACAUUCAACUUUAUUAUUUUAAAUUUUUUAUUUUUUAAGCUUGAUGUGGAUGAUUAUUAUUAAUUUAAUCUGUUAAAAAUAGUUUUACUGUAUAAUAGGUAUCUGAUAAUGCAAGGGACAAGGGUUGAACACACAAGAAAACAUGGACAGUAUGAUUAGAGUGUCAUGCUGCAGCUGAAGACAAUUUGUGGUAUUGACAUCUUGGUCACUUACACAAAGAGAUGCGCUGUGACAGCUUGAAUUCAGUUUCAAAUUGAAGGAAAGGCUUUUUGAGUCCCUUUCUAUCAUAAUGAAAGACACUCUGCUGCCAUAGGUGAUCUUAUAUAUAGUGAUAUGUGUGGACCAAUUAUGCCAUCUGCAAUUAGUGGUAAAAAGUAUCUUCAGGUAAUCUUAGAUGACUUUCACAUUUUGUCAUUGUUAAAUUGUAAAGAACAAGAGUGAAGCAAAAGAUAACUUGAUAUAUUAUAUUCAAGAAAUUAAAGCUUAACAUGGUCUUACUGAGGAAAGACUGUGAUUAGAUAUUGGUGGCAAAUUUGGUUCAAAUAGUUUUAAAGGAUUUGCAAAACAAUGGUAUACUAUUGGAAUGCACUAAGAGUUACAGUCCACAGAUGGGAGGAAAGGCUGAAUGCAUGAAUAAGACUAUAUUAAACAUGACUCAUACAAAUCUCAUUGACUGAGAAAUCCCAAAGGAGUUAUGGGGAGAGGCAUUAAAGAGCUCAGCCUAGAAACUAAAUAGAUAUCUAACAAGGACUAUUCAGAGAAAGAAAACGCCAUCAUUUUGUGGCAUGGAUGGAAUGCUCUCAGCAAGCUGAAAGUAUUUGGAUAUCGAGCAUGGUUCAAUAUCCUACCAAAACAAACUAUAGAAGCAAGAACAAAAUGUGCAGUUAUUAUGGGAUAUUGUAGUAGUGGCUACAGGUUGUGGAUCCCAGCUGAAGAAACGAUAGUAAAAUCAUGAGAUGUAUGUUUUAAUGAAAGCUGUAUGGAGUAUAUAGGAAACAAAAGAGCCAAAUCAAAACAAAUAGAAGAGGGAGUUGUAUCCCCAACUAUAUUACACCCAGUAUUGAAGAAGAAGAGCAAGAUGAUGAUGGAAGAAUACUAGGAAACAAUAACAACAGUGAGCUAAAAGAUGAAAGAGAAGACAAAAGGGAAAAUUCUAACUUUAGAAUUUUCCCUUUUUGUUGAUGAUAAACAAU
rnacentral:lncRNA from 1 species